rnacentral:lncRNA from 1 species
UCUAAGACCCCUCCUGAUAUUUUGCAGCUGGGUAGACCCAACAUUAUCAGCUGCUGCAAUCAAGAUCUGGCUGUACUCAUCCAGCAAUUGGCACAGCUUAGCGUCGUAAGCGAUUUUCUUAUCAGCCUUUGAUAGUUUGUUCACCAUUUUUUACUAGUUUAGUUUCUAAAACUAAAAGGAAGGUAAAGAUUAAAGCAAAACUGAGGGCCAAGACACAAAGAUAGUGUUCUGUCAAGGCGGACAGCAAAAGCGCGGCUGUCUCUUUAACCUCGGAGGUAGACGGUUAGGAGUGUAGUGGGAGAGAAGCAAAAACCCUAACACAGAUGUGAGGUUUGUGCGAGAUGGUAUUGUGUUUUUAUGCUGGGUUUCAUAGGGAGACCUAGAUCGGACGGUUGGUGUAUGCUUUCUAGAUUGGAAUCUAAUGGCUGUGACAUUUUCUCACUCUUUGGGCUUGCUUGGUUCCGUGGGCUCUGGAUUCUAGUUACUGGACCAGCCUUCUAGUGAGAGUUAGAUCGGACGGUUGAUAUUUGUUCUUUACAACGAAAUCUGAUAGCUGGUGUUUUUUCGCAUUUGUUGGGCUUUCUUGGUGCCUGGAUAUUUGUUAUUUUGAGUUCUUUUUAUUUUAUGAUUUUUUAUGCCGUGUUUAGCAGAGUUGUCUUUAUUGUUUCGGAAGUUAUUGAUAAUCGACGUUACGUUCCAUUUUAAAUAUUAUUAAAAAAAUAUUUUCGAUGAUAAAUUACCGAUUGAUUUUAAAAUUGUUAUUAUGAUAUGUAAAAAAAUUUAUAUUCUUUAAAGAGACAAAUUCAUUAUUCUAAGCUGGCUCUGUUUUAGGUUGGGAUUUUUAUUGAAAAAUUAUUCAUUUGUAGGGAUGACGACUCCUUUAAUAUUUAAGUUUAUAAAUAUAGAGUAAAUGUGUAUUUACUAUUUAUACAGUUAAUCCAUGAGGUUUAAACUUUAUUUGGGGAGAUAAAAACGUGUAGUGGUAGAGAAAUUGGUGUUGAAUUUUUUUUUUUAGUUUAACUUGGGUGUCCGGGCCAGCUUGCGCGUACCUCGAUUAAUUCCACGGGCCCUGAAGUUAACGACCAUGUAAGUCUCCAGUGGCCAUCUUAUGAGCAAUCACAGGGCUCAAACCUGAGACCACAGAGAAAAUAAAUUUUUUGAUCCCAAACUUUUAUCAUUGGACCAUCACCUAGAUAAUUUGGUGUUGAAUAUUAAUUGUUGAGUUGGAAUCAAUCAGCUAGCAUGGUGACUCGUUAAUUAAUAAAGAUAGUGGCUAGCUGUUAGCCUGUUACAAGCCCGUGUAGCAGUUGGUGUAAAAAUACAGCAUUGUCCCUGCAUAGAUAUAAACUAAUAAAAGGUUGUGUGUAACAAAAAUCGUGUGCAAGCUGUGUGUAGGAGCGGAGCUACCUGUGGGUAAGAGGGGGCAAUUUGCCCUCAAUUAUUUUUUUAAAAUAUUUUUUUUAUAUUAAAAAUAUUAAUAUAACAACUUAUAUCUUACGGGAAAAAAAGAAGAAAAAAAAAGUAGAAAAUAUUGUGGCUAGAGAAAGACCACAACUAGUGGAUUUAUAUCCCAAUAAUUUUUAUCUUCUUAUUAAUUUUUUUUGUCAAUUUCUUUGCAUCUUCUUUUAGGGUUGAUUUUUUUUAUCUUUUUAUCUUUUAAUUUAUUUGUAUGGAUUGAAUAUAUGUUAUACUCACUUUUUGGAAUUUAAGAAUUGCUAUGAUUAUUGAAUUUUUAGUGUCAUUUUUUUUUCAAUUCUCUAAAUAACAAAUUUAGUUAAGAUUAUUUCAUUUUUUUUUCUUUUCUUUCAAUAAAAUUUUAGAAUUUUGAAUCUAAGUUUUAACCGGUAACUAACAAAAAUUAAAUUUCUAGAACUUAUGUUUUUUAGUUAAGAAAUUAAGUAGUAUACCAAACAAAAGUUAUGUAGAUGACUUGUUAUUUUCAAGAGGCAAAAACACAAAUUCACAGUGAUUCAAUAUGUUUAGAUAACAAUUCUAAGAUUGCUUAAUGACUUGUUAUUACAUUAUUCAUUAUUUAGGGAGUGAAAGAAGUAAUUUUCAAGAUUAUAAAUAUAUAGAAAUCAAUAACUUGGAUCUGAAAAAAAAAUUAAUCUUUACUUUUUGCAUAUUAUCACUGCUAAUUAUUUAUUAAAGAAAGCCACUAAUUUGAAAAUAUAACGUCAAAAACAGAAUUAAUGAUCUAAAAAAUAUUAGUUAUAUAUUUUAGUUUACACUGCUACUGAUUUUUUAUAUAUAAAAAAAUAAUAAUGAACAAGAAAUUUAGUGUAAAAAUAUUUGAGUAAAAUAUUAAUUACCAUAAUUUUUCUAUAUAAACAAACCCUUUAUGCAAUAUACUUCAUCACAUUAGAGGAAAACAACGUCAUGCUUAGUACAUAUUUGGUAUAUAAUUUUGAUUUAAGAUUUAUCUUAUUAUCAUCAAAUAAAACAAAUUGUAUUUAGGUAAAUAUAUAAGGAUAAUACAAUUGAAUAUAUAUAUAUAUAAAGAGAGUUUGUUACUUUAGAUCUAAAUAUAAUUGAGAUCAAUGUUUGAUAAUUAAAUUAAAUUUAUGUAAUGUCUUAAUGAUUAUUGUGUAACUCAGCUGACUUUUAUUUAACAAUAAAUUAUUGUAUAAUUGUGUUAAUUGUUUAAUAAUAUCAUUGAUAUGCAACUUAAUAUNNNNNNNNNNNNNNNNNNNNNNNNNNNNNNNNNNNNNNNNNNNNNNNNNNNNNNNNNNNNNNNNNNNNNNNNNNNNNNNNNNNNNNNNNNNNNNNNNNNNUUUUCCUAUCAUCAACUAAAUUAAUUCUUUCUCUGCUAUGAAUAAAGAAAAGUUUAUUCAUCUUGCUCAUUUGUAUCUCAAUGAAUUGUCUAUAAUGGACUUUACAGUAUGACUAACUUGAUACGUAUAUCAUUGAUCUACGUAAUGAUGAUGAGUUGUCUAGUAUUGAAGGUAUUGCUAGUCUUGUAGAGAAAAUAAUAAAAACAAAGAAUGAUAUUUUGAAGAGAGUUUUUCAAAUUGGUCUAUAUGUUUGAUAUACAUGUUUAUAAAAUUUUCAUUACUUCUACUAGUUACAACUGUUAUAUGCAAAGAGUUUUUUUUUUUUAUGCAUAUUAUCAAGAGUAAAUUGCAGAAUUUAAUAGGAGUCAAGCGAAUAAAUAACAGUUUGAUUGUGUAGAUUGAAAAAAAUAUCAUUAAUGAGAUUGAUAAUAAAAUUAUUACGAAGCUGUUUUAAAAUAUAAAAACUUGAAAAAAAUAAUUAUAAUGUAAGUUUUAUUAUUUUAAAAAUAUUUUUAAAUUAAUUUCAUUUAGUAUACAUAUUUUAAUUUUAAUUUAUCUAUAUAAUGCAUGUGUAUAUUGUUACUAAUUUUGCUCUUCAUUGGAAAGAUCCUGGGUACACCGCUGGCUGUGUGCUGCAUGAAGAAUUUUCUUCUCUCUGCACCUUCGUGAGAUAGAAAAGAAAUACAAUGAUUUCAUUCCAAAUUCUUGGAUUUGCCAUUUAUAUUUUGGCUGUAGGCUGGGCUUGAAGCUAUAUUUCCCGAAGCCACACGUCUACAAGAGCACACAUAUCAGUUAUAAACCUUUAAGCAUCCAGUACUUGACUUUGUGAUUUGACUGCAUUGCGAAACAACACUGAAUUCUCUAAUAUGUUGUUAAAUGAGAGAUGAUUUUCUUCUCUGUGCGCUUUCACGAGAAUAAUGAGAUUACAAAUAUAGAAACGUUGACUGGCCUUGUUAAGCACAGAAAACCUCUUUUGCUUGAUUGCAAGCUAAAAGGGAAAUGUUGAUUUUUCUAUCCUCCGCUUCCUGCUUUGAUUUUUCUUGAUGGCUCGGCAAUGGUCAGGCUUAACUGAAAGGGAAAAUACUGAUCACGCACCGACGAACUACAAAAACUAUAAGUUGAUAUAAAAAGGCCACAUGUAACUGAAUAUUUAACACGUGAAAUGUUAAAUAAUAAUAUAAAUUAUAUUUUAAAAUUUUAUAUAAUAAUUUAAGUUAUUAGGUUGAGAUAAUUAUUUGAUAUAGUAUCAGAGCUUUAAUGAUUAAGCAGUCACAAAUUUAAAUCUCACUUUUUCUAUUUAUUUGAUAAAAAUUAAAUAUAAGGUAAUCUGGAUCUAUACAAGUUUUAAGUACAAAGAGUUUUUAUUUGAGGGGAUGUGUUAAAAAAUAAUAUAAAUUAUAUCUUGAAAUUUUAUCUAAUAGUUUAAGGUAUUAAGUUGAGGUAUAGAAAAUCCUCUUUUGCAAUCUUAACUUUCAUCAUUAUUAAUGACAAGAUAUAUAUGACCUCCCGGGCUGUAAAGAAUGUUGUCUCACGUAAUUUCUGAAUUUUCAAAAUGGUAUUUAGUCCACGAUCUUGUCGUCUCAAAACAUGUCUCUGACAAACAAAAUUCUCAACCUCACACAACCCUUGGCUUUUCUCGGUUAUUAAACACCUCCCUCGUCUUGCAGGCUCUAUUCUGGGUUCUCUCAUGACUCGUAACGUCAGGCAACAAAACCUGCUGAUUCGUUUACUAUCUCGAAGUAUGAUAGAGACAUACAUAUAUGUGUAAAAACAAAGGGCACCCGAGAGACAUGUAAAACCAUGCUAACCCAGUGCAUGCACACAAGAUAACUAAACAGAACAGACUCUCUUUUUCAGGCAUAAUAAAUUGUGAUUUAUCUUGUCUUUGUAGUAGUUGCCACUUUAUACAAUGCUUUCCUCUGUUCUGAUAGGCAUGGGUUUCAUUGUUCGGCUAAUGGAAGAACAGAUACAAGCCGGUGAGUCGGUGACGGCAUGGUUUUCAUAAGGUUGGUUUCAUUACUAAACAUAAAUGUCUUUUAAAAUAGUAGUUUUUCUUUCUACCAAACAGCGAAUGAACGAAGGGUUGGGCCGAGAAGAUUUUAUGGGUCUGACUAGUAAAGAACCCACGGCCCAUUUACUUAUGGUUGGAUUUAGAGCACAAACAAAAUUUAUAGAGUCAAUUUAAUGUUUUUUUUUUUUUAAAAAUAAAUCUCAUUUAAUUUAUCGAAUUGACGCAAACCCAGUACUAGUAAUAAAUUGGGUGUUUUUCAUUACAAUAUAAUUCAACUCCUUUACCAAAAUAACCAUACUUUAAUUCAUAUGGAUUUUUAUGCAAAGGUGCUUCCAGAAUAUGGCUAUCUAAUGGGAUUAGAACUCCUUGAAGUGCAAUGCUUUUUGGAGUGUGCAUUUAGUCACUUUGUUGAGUUUUUUUAUAUAUUUUCUUUUAUCAGUUUCAAGUGAAUGAUGACACCCCUAGCUAGUUGCUGCCAGGGAACUGAAUCCUUGUUUCGACCAAUCUAAUUAUGCAACUGAUCGAUGUUUUGAUUUCAAUUUAAGUUUUGGAUGUCUAAUCUUAUAAUAUUCAUGAAGAAGCAACCAAACGACUGUUGUGGUAUUAAUUGAUUGAUGAGUAAGUUGAGAAUAAUGUCUAAGAGAUGCUGGGAGAAUCGUUCUGCCACCAAGUUAAAUUUGCUGCAUAAUCUCCUUUCUCACUUCCUUAAAAUUCGUAGUGGAUGGCUCAAUAUCUCUGUUAUUCCCCACAAACCGAGUCCUUGAAGUCCUAAUAAAGAAUAGAAGUGGAAAUCAAGAGAACAAAAGGAUUGUCAUAAUGACAAGCAAUAAACAAAGAACGUUGACCAACUUUGUACGUGGGGAGUAGUAGCUAGAGGAAAUCAAUUUUUACACUUGAUUCCAAUUGCUAACAUUCUUCACUUUUAGCUUCGUUUUUCUUUGUCUACUGGCAGAUGGCAAUGACCUGCUGACAAGCGGUGACUAAAAGGGAAAUAUAACACUGAUCAUGGGUUACAAGACAGAAAAUCAAAGAACUAUAGCUUGAUAUUAAAAGGUGAUCGCUGAUAUCGCAUGCAAAGAGAGGAAAAGAAUUUCUUCUUUUGCAAUCUCAACUUGCACUAUUCUUGCUAACAAGAUAAGGCCUCCCACGAUGGCAGGAAUCUUCUCUCCACACGUAAUUCUAUUUGGCUUAAAGUGGCUUUAGGCUUCGAUCUUGUCUCGUAAAGCAUUUCCUCUGUAUCGAAAUUCCCACCCACUUAACUCCUUAUUGGCUUUUAUCAGUUGUCAAGUAACUGAUCUCUUAUCUUGUUGAUCUAUUCUCGGGUUAUCUAGCAGCCAUAAUUGGCAUUGCAAGAUUAAGAAAAUCAAGUUACAAUUCCAUGCUUCAUUUAUUUUACAGGAAGUGUAAGAGAAUAUGGAGAGAAGCUGAUCAUAAUGGGCUAACCUUUUGUCUUCUGCAACUUAAUUAAUGGUGACUUUUGUCAGUGUAGGAGCUAAAAUGGCCAGCCAUCGUCAAUAUGGUGAAAGAAAUAUUCAAUGCUUAGCCAUAAGAGGUGAGAACUUACACAGGUUGCGAACAUAAACUCGGUUGUAAAUACGACAACUCACUAAUGGCAGACACAAGGCUAAUAAUCUCAGCUCUUCAUUAAUAUUGCGUGAUAGAAUUGAUCAUAGAUGAAGCCAUUAAAAAGACUGAUCGGUGAGUAAUAAAAGGGUAUAUGCUUAGCCUCAUCAUCAAGAAUCAAUGGUCAGUUACUUGCAUUCCUUGACUUCUAUCCUUCAUGAGGCAUGAAGACAUGUAUAUGAGAGACCAAGUGCAGACGAGAGAUUACAAGGCAGCAGCAGAAAUUUUUUGGUUCCUGCAUGCAAAUCAAAUUUUAUGAAACCUUUAACUAAUCCAUUGAUUGCAAUAAGAUUUCAUUUGACUAGCUAGUACAAAAUUAAAAACACACGAAUGCUAACAAUAGCUUUAAUUUUUGUGGACUAAUGACGUGGCAUUUGCUAAACAUAUUCGUUGUAACACUGAAGUUCUAUAUAAUACAUGUAAGUGUGCAGACUAGAAACAUCUCAAGAAAUCGAACCCAAAAAACGUAAAGCCUCUGAUAAUCUGAUCGAACGUAAGGAAUACAUAAAAAUAAAAAUAAUAACGAAAAAAAAACUCUAGUUAACUAGGGUUAAUUUGACCAACCCACGUCUCAGGAUAUGAGAUAAGGAUAAUCCCGCAAAUAAAAAAGGCACAGAUCACGACGCUAAAAGCCCAAUAACUUAAUGUCAAAUGAUGAAACUAAAAAAAAAAAUUAUUUUUUAAAAAUGACUUAAAAAAGAGACCGAACUUAAACCAAGUUAAUUUUCAAAACUAGUAGCCCGGGUCAUGAGACCGAGAUUACCCUGUAGAAAAUAGACAUGAAAAAAUAAUAAAGAAAAAUUAUCAAUCAUAAGAAAAUAAAAAUCACAAAAAAAAAACAACAAUCAAAAUAAUGAGGAUCAAAUGUUGUACAUAAAAUAAAAGCAAGAAAGUAAUUAGGGAUUAAUUAAAUUGAAAAAAAAUAAGAAAAGGAUAAAAAAAUAACAAUAAAAAAAGAUCAAAACUGGAAAUAAAUUAAAUAAAAUAAAAUGUUGAAGAAUAAAAUUAAAAAAAAAUUAAGUAAAAAGUAAAAAAUAGCAAUUAAAAAAACGAAAAUCAAAUUUGAUAUAAAAAUUAAAUUAAAUUAAAUACUUUGGGAUAAAAUUGAAAAAAUAAUAAACUUUAAAUGACAUUAACAUAAAAAAAAAUAGAAAUGAAAAUAAAAAGGAACAAAUUUAAAAUAAAUACAAAGUGGAUUUAAGAUUCACCUCUGGGUUUUAUGAUCACUAAUUGAGACUAAAUAUACAAAGCUAGAUGAUAUCGAGGUGCACUGUAUUAUGAAAUUAAUUAAUCACGUAAAUCGGUUUCGUGCAUGCAGAAGAAUCUCUACCUUACAGAGAAAAAUACAAGCUGANNNNNNNNNNNNNNNNNNNNNNNNNNNNNNNNNNNNNNNNNNNNNNNNNNNNNNNNNNNNNNNNNNNNNNNNNNNNNNNNNNNNNNNNNNNNNNNNNNNNUCAUGGCAGAGCAUACCUAAAGAUGGCCACUACAUCCAACGAGAAUAACCAAUCAUAAAGAAGUUUUAAGAAACUUGAUCCGAGAAAAAAGCUACUACGGUUUACAGAUCAUCCAUGGUAGAGCAAACCUGAUGAUAGCCUUAGACUAUACUUGUCCAGACUUGGACAAGAAGAACAUGGCCAAACGAGAAGAACCUUUACCGAGUGGAUCUGCAAAGCCCGUGGCUCUGAUAAAAUUUGAUAAAAUUAAUCAGUGAAGACGAAAACAAUUAUUUCGAUUUUAGUCUAAUUUUUUCAUGGCAAGCGAUUCCAGUCGAGAACAAUUUUUGUCUUCAUUAACGUCUCAACACAGUAUCGAAGAAUUCAUGGAAAUCUUUAAGCGCAAAACAUUUGCUGUUAAGCAUAGCAAUAAUUUCAAAGAUCGAAUUUAUUAGAAAACAGGUUUAUUUUAAGUGAAGAAAUACUAUUACACCUUGCCAUGUUUCUAUCCACGAGUAGGGAACAUGUUUUCCUUACGUCGACCAGCUAAGCAUGAGGGUAGCUUUCACUUAUUUGCAAAUCAACUUCUUCAAAGUGCAGUCAGGGAAAAAAUAAACAAAAUUCAAAAGAUUUAAAUAAGAAUCACAGGAAAACAUCCUACCAUGCUUUCAUGACUUGCUCAGUAAUUUAAUAACAAAUUGUCAGAAAAAACUAGGAAGACAGAACAGGAAUACAGGAAAAACUAAGUGAUAUUAGCCACAGCAUGGUAAAUUCCUAGAUAAAAACCAAAAUAAAACUUAGUCAAAAAGGCUGAAACCCAUGUCAUCAUCGGACUCUUCUGCUGGCUCUUCCUUCUUCUCCUCUUCCUUGGCAGCAGCUGGGGCACCACCAGGAGCGGCGGCGGCGGCGGCGGCAGGAGCUGCUGCGACAGCAAACUUGCUAGGAUCCUGCAAUCAAACAAGAACGUUAGGACAGUUUACAGCAACAGGUAGCAUAACUACAAUUUAAGUCUGAACAUGGAAUAUAGUCCAGUUAAUGAAUAAACAAAUAACAAACCUUCAGGAACUCUUUCACUUCCUCUGCUUGAGGAUAAGAAUAUUCAGUUGCAACUGCAACAGAAAGAAUAUUCUUGUAGGCAUUGAUGAACAUGUGUGGUGCAGCAGCAAGGGUUGGGUACGAGAUGGCCAGUGACAAGGAGGUGAUCAUAGUGAUACCAGUAGCAAACUUCUCAACAAGGUCAUCCUCUGUCAGGUCAAGCACAGUGGGGCUGAAGACAGAGCCAUUGUCAUAAACAGACAAGACAACCAGACCAUAAGAAAAUGGCCUAAUGCCAAGCUUUGCCAGUAGAGCAGCCUCAGAAGAGCCAACCUUGUCACCCUUCUUGAUCAGCUCGACUGGGGUGAUAAUUUCGACUGUACCCUUGUUAAUCUUGGUUGGAAUAUUGAGCACCUGUAGAAAAGAAUAAAGUAGCUAUAAGAGUUAAGAGAAAAACAGCAAGCACCAAGCAUGCUACAGAACUGUGUUGCAAAAAAAAAACCCAAAAGCUAUAAGCACAAACAUUAUCAUCAUGAGAUUUAGGUGACAGACCUGGAAGAAAGAGGUCUGGGAUGGAUCAAGCCCUGUGUUGCCAGGAGGUACAACAACAUCAAUUGGGGCAACCAGACCAACACGAGCAGGAGCUCCAACCUGUUUUAACAAAUCAAAGAAAUGCAUUUGAAAAAUUAGUGACAAACAACUUAUAAAAAAUAUCCUCAAUCACAAAAAAAAAUGACUCUGUUUUCUAGUAGUAUAAAUAGAAUUCAUGAGCAAAUUUUGUUUAGUGUCCUUAUUAGCAACAAACAUGCAUUCGUUAUAAUUUCAAUCAAAGCUAGGAAAUCCCAAUUAUACAUUUGCUCACCACCAUUUGGUAAUAUCACUCGGGACAAUUCAACACAUACAUGAUAUUAAAGUUUUUUUGUUUCCAGAGACAUUGCCAGAAUUCUUUAAAUUGCCAUUAAUCCUCAUUUUGUGUAAAUCUCACAAACCAGAAAUGGCCACUGUUAAUGUGUUGGUAUUAACAGACAUGCAACGACAAGGUACAAAUGAUUAAUAGUUCCAAACAACAAAAAACAGCAUAACUAGACCAUUUUUUUUUUGUUACGGAGACUAGUGAGAUUAAAAAAACAAAGGGAAUUCAAUCAUACAGUAUAACACCACAAUGUAGAUUAACAAUAAUGUGAAACAAUAGAAAGGAAUUGGAAUUAGCUUACAGCACCUUAUACUUCGCAACCUCCUCGCUCACUUCCUUGAGAUCACCUUUAGUGAAAAUCAACCCGACAUUACCCUAUUCAAACAAAACAGUAAAUUAAGCAUUAGUCAAAACAAAAAUGACCAACUUAAGCACAAUAAAAAAAGAAAUAAAAGGAACGAGAUAAUCUAUAUUGUUGUAUACCUGAAGGAGAGGGAUAAGGUUAAGGAAAGUUUUGUUUCCAGUUUUUUCAGAAUGGAUCCGAACAGACCUCUUCAUCAUGGUAUUCUUUCCCAUGAGCACCACAGAGUCACCUCUAAGACCCCUCCUGAUAUUUUGCAGCUGGGUAGACCCAACAUUAUCAGCUGCUGCAAUCAAGAUCUGGCUGUACUCAUCCAGUAAUUGGCACAGCUUAGCGUCGUAAGCGAUUUUCUUAUCAGCCUUUGAUAGUUUGUUCACCAUUUUUUACUAGUUUAGUUUCUAAAACUAAAAGGAAGGUAAAGAUUAAAGCAAAACUGAGGGCCAAGACACAAAAGAUAGUGUUCUGUCAAGGCGGACAGCAAAAGCGCGGCUGUCUCUUUAACCUCGGAGGUAGACGGUUAGGAGUGUAGUGGGAGAGAAGCAAAAACCCUAACACAGAUGUGAGGUUUGUGCGAGAUGGUACUGUGUUUUUAUGCUGGGUUUCGUAGGGAGACCUAGAUCGGACGGUUGGUGUGUCCUUUCUAGAUUGGAAUCUAAUGGCUGUGACUUUUUCUCACUCUUUGGGCUUGCUUGGUUCCGUGGGCUCUGGAUUCUAGUUACUGGACCAGCCUUCUAGAGAGAGUUAGAUCGGACGGUUGAUAUUUGUUCUUUACAACGAAAUCUGAUAGCUGGUGUUUUUUCGCAUUUGUUGGGCUUUCUUGGUGCCUGGAUAUUUGUUAUUUUGAGUUCUUUUUAUUUUAUGAUUUUUUAUGCCGUGUUUAGCAGAGUUGUCUUUAUUGUUUCGGAAGUUAUUGAUAAUCGACGUUUCAUUUUAAAAGCAUAAAAUUGAUAAAUAUAAAUGAAAAUAUUAAAAAAAUAUUUUUAUUGGUAAAUUGCCAACUAAUUUUAAAAUUGUUAUUAUGAUAUGUAAAAUAAAUUUUAUAUUGUUUAAAGAUAUUUGAUUUUGACAAAUUCAUUAUUCUAAGCUGGCUCUGUUUUAGGUUGGGAUUUUUAUUGAAAAAUUAUUCAUUUGUAGGGAUAACGACUCCUUUAAUGUUUAAGUUAAUAAAUAUAGACUAAAUGUGUAUUUAUACAGUUAAUCCAUGAGGUUUAAACUUUAUCUGGGGAGAUAAAAACGUGUCAGUGGUAGAGAAAUGGUGUUGAAUAUUAAUUGUUGAGUUGGUAUCAAUCAGCUAGCGUGGUAACUCGUUGGCUGUUGUUCAAUGCACCGUUAAUAAAGAUGGUGGCUAGCUGUUACAAGCCCGUGUAACAAUUGGUGUAAAAAUACAGUAUUGUCCCUGCAUAGAUAUAAAAGGUUGUGUGUAACAAAAAUCGUGUGCGAGCUGUGUGCAGGGGCGAAGCUACGUGUGGGUACGAGGGGGCAAUUGCCCUCUUAAUUAUUUUUUAAAAAUAUUUUUUAUAUUAAAAAUAUUAAUAUGACAACUUAUAUCUUGUAAAAAAAAUAAACAAAAAUAAAAGAAAAAAACUAGGCUAGAGAAAAACCUGAAUUUAUAUCUCAGUAGUUUUUAUCUUCUUGUUAUUUUUUUUCUUGUCAAUUUCUUUACAUCUUUUUUCAGGGUUAGUCUUAUUUUUUUUUGUCUUUUUCUUUCUUGAUUUAUUUGUAUUUACUGAAUAUAAGUUUGAAAUUUAAGGAUUAGAAUGGUUAUUGAAUUUUUAGUGUCAAAUUCUUUUUCAAUUCUCAUAACAAAUUUAGUUAGGGUUAUUUUAUUUUUAUUUUCAAGAAAGUUUGAGAAUUUUAGACCUAAAUUUUAACAGGUAGCUAAUAAAAAUUAAUUUUUUAGGGUUUAUAUUUUUUAGCUAAGAGACUAAGUAGUUUGCCAAACAAAAAUUAUAUAGAUGACUUAUUAUUUCUGAGAGGCAAAUGUAUAGUGCUUUAAUAUGUUUUGUUAACAGUUAUAAGGUUACUUAAUCACUUGUUAUUUUAUUAUUUAUUAGUUAGUGACUGAAAUAAGUAAUCUUCAAGUUUAUAAAUAGAAAUCAAUAACUUGGAUCUUAAAAAAAAAAGGAUUAAUCUCUAGUUUUUGCAGUUAUUGCUACCAGUUAUUUAUAAAAUAAAGCUACUAAUUUAAACAUAUAACCUCAAAAACACAAUUAAUGAUCUAAAAAAUAUUAGUUACAUGUUUUAUAUAUAUAUAUAUAUAUAUAUAUAUAUAUAUAUAGAGAGAGAGAGAGAGAGAGAGAGAGAGAGAGAGAGAGAUUGUUACUUUAUAAUUAAAUGUAAUUGAGAUUGUUUGAUAGAUAAAUCAAAUACAUUUAAUGUCCUAAUGAUUAUUGUGUAACUUAACAGAAUUUUUUAUUAAUAAAUUAUUGUAUAGUUGUAUUAAUUAUUUAAAAAUAUUAUUGACAUGGAACUUAAUGAGUUAUGAUGAUUGUUUCACUUAAGUAAGUACAAAGUUGUUUUUUUGUGUGACAUAUUUAAACUCAAGUGAUUUUUUUUCUAUUUUUAACAAAGAAAAGUUUAUUUGCCUUACUCAUUUUUAUCCCGACAAGUUAUCUAUAGCGAAUCUUAUGGUACUUGAUGACCAACUUGAUUCGUAUAUUAUUGAUCCACGCAAUGAUGAUGAGUUCUCUAAUAUUGAAGGUAUUGCUAUUUUUGUAGAGAAAAUGGUAAAAACAAAGAAUGAUAGUUUGAAGAGAGUUUUUCAAAUCUGUAUAUAUUUUUGGUAUAUAUACUUAUCAAAUUGCUAUUACUUCUACCAAUUACAAUUGUUAUAGUGGAGAGAGUUUUUCCUACCAUGCAUAUUAUCAAGAGUAAAUUACAGAACAUGAUGCGAGAUAAGCGGAUAAAUGAUAGUUUGGUUAUGUAUUUCGAGAAAGAUAUAUUUGAUGAGAUUGAUAAUGAAGUUAUUAUGAAGAGAUUUCAAAAUAUAAAAAUUUAAAGAGAAUAAUUAUAAUGCAAGUUUUUGUAUUUUAAAAAUAUUAUGAAAUUAAUUCUGUUUAAUAUGAAUUAGCUCAUAUAUUUCAAGUUAAUUUAUCUAUAUAAUACAUGUCUAUAUAAUAUAAAAUAUUUAUUAAUAAUUAAUAUGUCUUCUCAUUUAAAAAAUCCAGGCUUCACCACCGGCUGUGUGCUGCUGCAUCAAGAAUUUGUCAUUUAAGAAUUUCCAUGAAGAAUUUUCUUCUCUCUGCACUUUCGUGAAAUAGAAAAGAAAUACAAUGAUUUCAUUCCAAAUUCUUGGAUUUGCCAUUUAUAUUUUGGCUGUAGGCUGGGCUUGAAGCUAUAUUUCCCGAAGCCACACGUCUACAAGAGCACACACAUCAGUUAUAAACCUUUAAGCAUCCAGUACUUGACUUUGUGACUUGACUGCAUUGCGAAACAACACUGAAUUCUCUAAUAUGUUGUUAAAUGAGAGAUGAUUUUCUUCUCUGUGCGCUUUCACGAGAAUAAUGAGAUUACAAAUAUAGAAACGUUGACUGGCCUUGUUAAGCACAGAAAAUCUCUUUUGUUUGAUAGCAAGCUAAAAGGGAAAUGUUGAUUUUUCUAUCCUCCGCUUCCUGCUUUGAUUUUUCUUGAUGGCUCGGCAAAGGUCAGGCUUAACUGAAAGGGAAAAUACUGAUCACGCACCGACGAACUACAAAAACUAUAAGUUGAUAUAAAAAGGCCACAUGUAGCUGAAUAUUUAACACGUCAAAUGUUAGAUAAUAAUAUAAAUUAUAUCUUGAGAUUUUAUGUAAUAGUUUAAGUUAUUAGAUUGAAAUGAUUAUUUGAUAUAAUAUCAGAACCUUAAUGACUAAGCAGUCACGAAUUCAAAUCUUACUUUUUCUAUUUAUUUGAUAAAAAUUAAAUAUAAAGGAAUCUGGGCCUAUACAAGUUUUAAGUACAAAGAGUUUUUAUUUGAGGGGAUGUGUUAAAAAAUAAUAUAAAUUAUAUCUUGAAAUUUUAUCUAAUAGUUUAAGGUAUUAGGUUGAGGUAAUUAUUUGAUAUAAAAAAUGGUCUUCUGCAAUCUCAACUUUCAUCAUUAUUAAUGACAAGAUAUAUAUGACCUCCCUGGCUGUAAAGAAUGUUGUCUCACGUAAUUUCUGAAUUUUCAAAAUGGUAUUUAGUCCACGAUCUUGUCGUCUCAAAACAUGUCUCUGACAAACAAAAUUCUCAACCUCACACAACCCUUGGCUUUUCUCGGUUAUUAAACACCUCCCUCGUCUUGCAGGCUCUAUUCUGGGUUCUCUCAUGACUCGUAACGUCAGGCAACAAAACCUGCUGAUUCGUUUACUAUCUCGAAGUAUGAUAGAGACAUACAUAUAUGUGUAAAAACAAAGGGCACCCGAGAGACAUCUAAAACCAUGCUAACCCAGUGCAUGCACACAAGAUAAUUAAACAGAACAGACUCUUUUUCAGGCAUAAUAAAUUGUGAUUUAUCUUGUCUUUGUAGUAGUUGCCACUUUAUACAAUGCUUUCCUCUGUUCUGAUAGGCAUGGGUUUCAUUGUUCGGCUAAUGGAAGAACAGAUACAAGCCGUUGAGUCGGUGACGGCAUGGUUUUCAUAAGGUUGGUUUCAUUACUAAACAUAAAUGUCUUUUAAAAUAGUAGUUUUUCUUUCUACCAAACAACGAAUGAACGAAGGGUUGGGCCGAGAAGAUUUUAGGGGUCUGACUAGUAAAGAACCCACGGCCCAUUUACUUGUGGUUGGAUUUAGAGCACAAACAAAAUUUAUAGAGUCAAUUUAAUGUUUUUUUUUAAAAUAAAUCUCAUUUAAUUUAUCGAAUUGACGCAAACCCAGUACUAGUAAUAAAUUGGGUGUUUUUCAUUACAAUAUAAUUCAACUCCUUUACCAAAAUAACCAUACUUUAAUUCAUAUGGAUUUUUAUGCAAAGGUGUUUCCAGAAUAUGGCUAUCUAAUGGCAUUAGAACUCCUUGAAGUGCAAUGCUUUUUGGAGUGUGCAAUUAGUCACUUUGUUGAGUUUUUUUUAUAUAUUUCCUUUUAUCAGUUUCAAGUGAAUGAUGACACCCCUAGCUAGUUGCUGCCAGGGAACUGAAUCCUUGUUUCGACCAAUCUAAUUAAGCAACUGAUGUUUUGAUUUCAAUUUAAGUUUUGGAUGUCUAAUCUUAUAAUAUUCACGAAGAAGCAACCAAACGACGUCUGUUGUGGUAUUAAUUGAUUGAUGAGUAAGUUGAGAAUAAUGUCUAAGAGAUGCUGGGAGAAUCGUCCUGCCACCAAGUUAAAUUUGCUGCAUAAUCUCCUUUCUCACUUCCUUAAUUCGUAGUGGAUGGCUCAAUAUCUCUGUUAUUCCCCACAAACCGAGUCCUUGAAGUCCUAAUAAAGAAUAGAAGUGGAAAUCAAGAGAACAAAAGGAUUGUCAUAAUGACAAGCAAUAAACAAAGAACGUUGACCAACUUUGUAUGUGGGGAGUAGUAGCUAGAGGAAAUCAAUUUUUUCACUUGAUUCCAAUUGCUAACAUUCUUCACUUUUGGCUUCGUUUUUCUUCGUCUACUGGCAGAUGGCAAUGACCUGCUGACAAGCGGUGACUAAAAGGGAAACAUAACACUGAUCAUGGGUUACAAGACAGAAAAUCAAAGAACUAUAGCUUGAUAUUAAAAGGUGAUCGCUGAUAUCGCAUGCAAAGAGAGGAAAGGAAUUUCUUCUUUUGCAAUCUCAACUUGCACUAUUCUUGCUAACAAGAUAAGGCCUCCCACGAUGGCAGGAAUCUUCUCUCCACACGUAAUUCUAUUUGGCUUAAAGUGGCUUUAGGCUUCGAUCUUGUCUCGUAAAGCAUUUCCUCUGUAUCGAAAUUCCCACCCACUUAACUCCUUAUUGGCUUUUAUCAGUUGUCAAGUAACUGAUCUCUUAUCUUGUUGAUCUAUUCUCGGGUUAUCUAGCAGCCAUAAUUGGCAUUGCAAGAUUAAGAAAAUCAAGUUACAAUUCCAUGCUUCAUUUAUUUUACAGGAAGUGUAAGAGAAUAUGGAGAGAAGCUGAUCAUAAUGGGCUAACCUUUUGUCUUCUGCAACUUAAUUAAUGGUGACUUUUGUCAGUGUAGGAGCUAAAAUGGCCAGCCAUCGUCAAUAUGGUGAAAGAAAUAUUCAAUGCUUAGCCAUAAGAGGUGAGAACUUACACAGGUUGCGAACAUAAACUCGGUUGUAAAUACGACAACUCACUAAUGGCAGACACAAGGCUAAUAAUCUCAGCUCUUCAUUAAUAUUGCGUGAUAGAAUUGAUCAUAGAUGAAGCCAUUAAAAAGACUGAUCGGUGAGUAAUAAAAGGGUAUAUGCUUAGCCUCAUCAUCAAGAAUCAAUGGUCAGUUACUUGCAUUCCUUGACUUCUAUCCUUCAUGAGGCAUGAAGACAUGUAUAUGAGAGACCAAGUGCAGACGAGAGAUUACAAGGCAGCAGCAGAAAUUUUUUGGUUCCUGCAUGCAAAUCAAAUUUUAUGAAACCUUUAACUAAUCCAUUGAUUGCAAUAAGAUUUCAUUUGACUAGCUAGUACAAAAUUAAAAACACACGAAUGCUAACAAUAGCUUUAAUUUUUGUGGACUAAUGACGUGGCAUUUGCUAAACAUAUUCGUUGUAACACUGAAGUUCUAUAUAAUACAUGUAAGUGUGCAGACUAGAAACAUCUCAAGAAAUCGAACCCAAAAAACGUAAAGCCUCUGAUAAUCUGAUCGAACGUAAGGAAUACAUAAAAAUAAAAAUAAUAACGAAAAAAAAACUCUAGUUAACUAGGGUUAAUUUGACCAACCCACGUCUCAGGAUAUGAGAUAAGGAUAAUCCCGCAAAUAAAAAAGGCACAGAUCACGACGCUAAAAGCCCAAUAACUUAAUGUCAAAUGAUGAAACUAAAAAAAAAAUUAUUUUUUAAAAAUGACUUAAAAAAGAGACCAAACUUAAACCAAGUUAAUUUUCAAAACUAGUAGCCCGGGUCAUGAGACCGAGAUUACCCUGUAGAAAAUAGACAUGAAAAAAUAAUAAAGAAAAAUUAUCAAUCAUAAGAAAAUAAAAAUCACAAAAAAAAAACAACAAUCAAAAUAAUGAGGAUCAAAUGUUGUACAUAAAAUAAAAGCAAGAAAGUAAUUAGGGAUUAAUUAAAUUGAAAAAAAAUAAGAAAAGGAUAAAAAAAUAACAAUAAAAAAAGAUCAAAACUGGAAAUAAAUUAAAUAAAAUAAAAUGUUGAAGAAUAAAAUUAAAAAAAAAUUAAGUAAAAAGUAAAAAAUAGCAAUUAAAAGAACGAAAAUCAAAUUUGAUAUAAAAAUUAAAUUAAAUUAAAUACUUUGGGAUAAAAUUGAAAAAAUAAUAAACUUUAAAUGACAUUAACAUAAAAAAAAAUAGAAAUGAAAAUAAAAAGGAACAAAUUUAAAAUAAAUACAAAGUGGAUUUAAGAUUCACCUCUGGGUUUUAUGAUCACUAAUAGAGACUAAAUAUACAAAGCUAGAUGAUAUCGAGGUGCACUGUAUUAUGAAAUUAAUUAAUCACGUAAAUCGGUUUCGUGCAUGCAGAAGAAUCUCUACCUUACAGAGAAAAAUACAAGCUUAACAAGCAUCAACCUGCUCCAUGAGCAUGGAACCGCGUAUGACUAUGAUCACUCGGCGUACAUACAAGCAUAUACAUACGCUAUUAAUUUGUUUGGCCCAUGAAUCUUUAAUCAGUAUAUACACUUGUUAAUAAAAAAGGCAUACGUAUACAAAUACAUUUUCCUCAAUUUGUACCACCCACAUUGCAACUGGUACACAGAAACAAGUAGUGAUUAACGUUAGCUUUGGUCGAAAACAAAAUUAUGUUAACAGGACCCAUAUAAAUCAUGUAUUUCUAGGGCAGUGAUUGCAAGAGAGUCAUGCUAGUACGUAGGAAUCAAUGAAUGUUUGACUCCAUAUCAAGAUUUAUCAAAAUUCCUCAACGAAUCAUGUAACAGGAAAGAAAAUCUUCUCCUUUUCUGUUUGCUGAUAUGAACAAGCAUGGUCUCAUGGAAACUUGAAACUGGUACGUAUAAUAUAUUGGCGAGGCAUAUUUAAAUUAACUGGGAAAGACGUACGUAGUUCAAGGUUCCAUGUCCUCCACCAACAAUUCUCUCCCUUGCAAUUCUGGUUCAGAAUAAAGUAUGCCCCUCUAAAUAUUUUCACAUUUUUACUCAUUGAUAGUUUUCUCAAUUUUCUUAUUAAUAUUAAUUUUUACAGCAUGCCAUGAGUUCUUCUUAAUUUCUUCAUUUUUUUCUGAGUAGGUUAUGAAUUCCUUCCAUAUACUAAUUGUCCACGAUCAGUGUUUAGUGUAUAACAAGAUUAAUGAUUGAUCUUUACCUAAUAUCCUGCGUAUAGCAGAAGGAGGUCAUGUUUAAUUAUAAAAUCCCGGCAGCUCAAAUUACACCAUACAUACCACCAAGAACACAAUUAUAAUUACCAAGAAACUUUUCCUUUUGCCGCAGGCCAUAUUAUAAACUCACCAUUAUUUAGAACUUUUGUAGGCACUGUAGGGACCUUAGCAACUUAAUUACUAAAAAAGAUAACUUAUUUUUAACUUAUCUCUCUAAUCAUUAACUAUCCCACCGUUUUCGCUUCUUUUAUUUAAAUUUCCCUUUUCAUAGUGAAUGGAACACUUUUUAUUUAUUUAUUUAUUUUUCUAUAACGAAUGGAGAAAUUUUUUUAGCUUUGUGAAAGCGACUGUUUGAGAUUUUGUUUUUUAUUUUCUCCAGGUUUUGUUUCCGCUGCUUUCUUCUUUUGUCCAUAUUGAUGAGUUCGUAUACUGGAUCGUGUUGACUCCAGUAUUAAUUUUACCAAGGCAGGAAACUCUCGUCCUCCUUCAAAUUAAACCCCGUAGAAUGUUUCUUUCUAGUUUUUUAUCACUAAUAUCAAGUUAAUCAAUGUCAUUGUUGAUACACAUUAAUUUAUCAUCGAUCAAUAGUAAAUAAGGGCAAGUAUUAGGGGCAAUAUCCUUGUGAAAUCACUAGCUAGCUAACAGCAGAAGACACGCACAUUAAUGAAUUAACUUGAAUAAUCAGUCAAGAGACAGAGAUAAAGCGAGACAGGGAGCAUAUUGUGGAAAAGUUGAUAAAAGAGGAGGAACCGAGUGAGGAGAUGAAGAUGGCCCCUCCAUCCACUAAACAUGUUAUGUUUACUUACUUCAGGAUAAGAAACCAGGAGUUAACGAUGCCAUCAAUCAAUCAAUGGAGAUAAAACUCACUGGCAAAAUAUAUAUUGGAAUGCUGUGAACUUUUGACUGAGAAAAAGAAAUCAGUUUCACCAAGUAAAUUCGUGCAAAACUAGUUACUUUCAGAAGAAAUUUGCAUCGACACUUCAAUUAAGAAAAACAAACCCUCUCUCCAUGAUAAACUUUGUGAGAAGUAGUUUAUUUUUCUUAUUCAAUAUUAUUAGGAUUUUCUAGUUUUAUUUAUUUAUCUAUAUGGUUGUAAUAACAUUUUGACUAGUAAAGAUUUUGGUGAAUAAAAAUUGAAUAUUUUUAAUGUUGUUGUUGGUUUUUUAAAGUUUUGAGCUAUGGCAGACUCUGUUAUCCUUGUCUCUGUGUGUGUCAACUGAGACCUCUGUGUCAAAAAGCAACAAAGUAUGAUUUUGUUUCGCCUUUUCCCUAAUAACGUGUGGUAGAUGAGAUAACUAUAUAUGAUCUUAUGAUACCGACACUGUUGCGUGAUUUAAAUUUAGAAGGCGCCCUUCUCUUGAAUUUGUUUUGUGGUGUCAAAACGGAAGAGAACAUUAGUCUUACAAACAACAUGUUAAUUGCAUGAAAGAAUUGGGAAGCUUUCUAGUAUAUUAACACCAUUGCCACUUCAUUCCGAGUGAUAUAUACGCAUCCUGUAUGUAGUUUGUGAGAGUUGAGAUUACCUAGCAGCGAAUAGCUCUUUUCCUAUCGUAUUUUACGAAGAAUCAAGCAUGAGUUUUGGAUUGGGUUUUAGAUAUUAUAAUCUCGAUAAUACAAACAUGCCUUUCCAGCAAAGUAUCAAUUAAUACACACAUCCGAAUCCACAGCGUGAUACAUGGUGGCCUGUUUUAUGAAGAUUUCCAAUCUUUUUUACAGAAAAAGUGCCGUUUUACUGCAAAUUUAGUCACUUCCUGUAAGUGCUCACAAAAUGAAGAGAGAGAGAGAGAUCCGCCCAACUCAUUUAAAAAAGGAGGGUAUCAAAGUAACCAUUGAGACCAACACUCACAUUGAACAAGUAGCGCGACAGAAACUUGUCAUCUGAAAACACACAGGCAGAGUCAAAAUAUUUGUUUUUCUCCGUUUCUCAAAACACUAAAGGGCAGGGCAGGCAGUUUUCUCUGCAAAAAACCAACUCCUACUUGGUGUUUCGUUUUGUCAGAUCUCUUACAGUUGCAGUAUUCAAAGUUUCCUUUUAAAGAUAGAUGAGAGAGAGAGAGAGAGAGAGAGAGAGAGAUUGAGAGAGAGAGAGAGAGAGAGAGAUUCACUUUUUUGCUUGCUGGGUUAAUCCGUGAAUCGGAUUUUGAUUUGAGAGAAGGGUAUCUCAUAUUUAGUAAGGUAAAAGAGGAAAAUUAGUGUAUUGCCAAUUUGCCAUCCAUUGUUUCUAUCACUAUAGGCAAAGCUUUAACAGACGUUUUUGGAUUACAGUACUCUACUAGGAGUUUUCCUACUCUUAAAAGGUAUAAAACGAGAGAAGCACACCUGUGCUGACAAAGGGAGUUAAAGAGGCACAGGCUUUGCAGGGCUGUCGCACAUUUGUCCGUAAGAGGCCCCUAAAUUCCUCUGUCUCCACGUUAUAAAUCCAAGAGAGAUCCCGGCGGUUUCCAAAACCAACUAUCAUCAUAACUUCUUUUAGUUUCUUGGUCCGUUCUCUUCGUAUACUUCUGGUUUCUUGGUUUGGCCCAGACGUUGUCUUAAUUGUGGCUUCACUGUUUGUUUCAGAUCUGUAGAGGAGCAUUGAAAGGAAAUGUCAACUCAGAAGCAAGCAGAGGAAGCUAUGGUCUCAAACAAUGACACUGGGCAUGAAGAGAAAGAAGUAAGCAAUGAUGAAUCCGGUUUUAGCCUUAAAAGCGUUCUUUGGCAUGGUGGGUCUGUCUAUGAUGCCUGGUUUAGUUGUUCUUCAAAUCAGGUACUAUUACACCCGGUUCACAAUUUGAAAAAAAAGAGAGAGAAUCUUUUCCUUAAUUUUGACCAAGAAAAAAUGGAACUUUCUUUUUGGCGGUCACAGGUUGCUCAGGUUCUGUUAACACUGCCAUACUCUUUCUCUCAAAUGGGGAUGCUUUCAGGCAUAAUUUUGCAGAUAUUUUAUGGUUUUCUUGGAAGCUGGACAGCUUACCUUAUCAGUGUUCUCUAUGUUGAAUACCGAAGCAGAAAGGAGAAAGAGAAUGUCAGCUUCAAGAACCAUGUUAUACAGGUUAGCCUUCCAAGAACAACCCCCAAUAUAAGAACAAAACAAAGUUAGAUAUAAAAAUUCGAAUAUGCUUUCUAAAACCUCUUUUUUUUUUUAAUUGUCUAUAAUAUCACUUUUGUUUUGUCAAAAUUUUGAGUCUGCAGUGGUUUGAAGUGCUAGAUGGAUUACUGGGUCCAGCUUGGAAAGCUGUUGGAUUGGCCUUCAACUGCACUUUUCUCAUGUUUGGUUCUGUGAUACAGCUUAUAGCCUGUGCAAGGUCAGUCCUCGUUCCUUUUCUGUUUUGUAAUUUAUCUUUUCUACUUUUCCAGUAUUUAUUGAAAAAUGCGAUUUGUUAUGCACUGAUUCGAGUGCGUUAUUGGGGUAAUCACAGCAAUAUAUACUACAUAGAUGACAAAUUUGACAAGAGGACAUGGACUUAUAUUUUUGGAGCCUGCUGUGCCACCACCGUGUUCAUUCCUUCAUUUCACAACUAUAGAAUGUGGUCUUUUCUUGGACUUGGAAUGACCACCUACACUGCUUGGUAUAUGACUGUUGCAUCUCUUGUUCACGGCCAGGUAACUAAAAUUUAGAUCAGCCGCCUGAUCUUUUAUAAUAUCUCCUUUAUCCACAUUCCACACCAGCAGGAUUUGGUUUUUGUUUUUCCUUGAAAUAUUAGUACCAUUAUUUUACAGGUUGAAGGGGUAGUUCACUCGGGCCCAACAAAGGCAGUUCUUUAUUUUACAGGAGCCACCAAUAUCCUCUACACUUUUGGUGGGCAUGCUGUCACUGUGUAAGAAGCCUAUCUUCCUCUUCUUUUAAUUGCUAUCUAUCACUGUGCAAGAAACCACAUAAAGUUUUUAGAUUAUCCCUCAUGAAUUUAUGGGUUAACAACGAGGACAAUUUUUUAAACCAACUCGAUGAUUUAAAUGAUCGAGUCUUGGGAAGUUUAGAGUUAAUGAGAUUCCAUCUAUAAAACGCCAAAAGAAAUCAAUUCUGAUUCUGGUCAAAGGAACCGUGAUUGGAAGGCAUACGUUACACCUUAGAAUUUAGAUAGGGCCUGGCUUUGACCAGUCAAAUGUAACUUACAAUUUCAUCUUCAAUUUCCACACGCUAUAUAAGCACCUGGUUGGUUUUCCUUGCACAGAUGUUAGGCCCGCCAUGCCAGGGCACUUCUUGUCAGACUCUCCAUAGUCUAAUGUCGUGUCAUCAAAUUAAUUAUAUAAACCUGGACAAGCAAGUGGAUUAUCAUAACAAAUCAAUCUGUCACUCUUGUUUGAUACUGUCCAAUUUCAAGUGGUUUAUUUGAUGGCAAUGGCUUCUUGCUUACAGGGAAAUUAUGGGCUAUCAGACUUUCUAAAAUUUACACUGCGCUUCCUAUUCUAUAAUACUUUACUGACUCAUCUUACCUAAAGUUUUUGGUUUAUCAUAACAAAUCAAUCUGUCACUCUUGUUUGAUACUGUCCAAUUUCAAGUGGAUUAUUUGAUGGCAAUGGCUUCUUGCUUACAGGGAAAUUAUGCACGCAAUGUGGAAGCCUAAAAAAUUCAAGUGCAUAUAUCUACUUGCUACCCUUUAUGUGUUCACCUUAACGCUUCCAUCAGCUGCUGCCACCUACUGGGCCUUUGGAGAUCAACUCCUCACUCAUUCAAAUGCUUUCUCCCUACUACCCCGCACCCCAUGGCGUGAUGCUGCUGUUAUCCUUAUGCUUAUUCAUCAGGUUUUGUUUUUUUUUUGCAUAUUUUCUGUCAUUAGUCAUGAUUCAUGAACUGUUACGUUGACACAUACGAUGCUGUUUGAUCAGGAAAAGACAACCAAUAUUAGAUGACAAAUUCGUGUAAAAAGUUGUAAUUGAUUUGAUUGAUUAAUUCGGUGCAUGUGUGUAUGAAUUGCAGUUUAUAACAUUUGGAUUCGCGUGUACACCAUUGUAUUUUGUGUGGGAGAAAGUGAUUGGGAUGCAUGAUACAAAGAGCAUCUUGUUGAGGGCGUUGUCUCGGUUACCCGUGGUCAUACCUAUAUGGUUCUUCGCAAUUAUAUUCCCUUUCUUUGGACCAAUCAACUCAGCUGUGGGGGCUCUUUUGGUCAGCUUUACCGUCUACAUCAUCCCUGCUUUAGCUCAUAUGCUCACUUAUCGAUCUGCCUCUGCUCGACAGGUAAAUGGUCCAUUUUCUCUGCCUCUUGUCUUCAUCUCUACCUAAUGCUUGUAUUGUAUAUCUGGCUGGCAUUGUCUAAUGCUUCGACGAAGUAGCUAGUCAUUGAUUUCACUUUCUUAGUUACAAUAAAUUAUAAGACAAAAUGACAGAUAGAUGUACAUGUACCCAGAAAGGUAUAGAUGCUGGGAUUUCAGCCAUAUAACUAGUCACCAGGGCAAGUCCGUUUUGGUCCUAAUUUCAUGCUAGGUAACUUGAUUUGGUGAUAUCAGCCACUUAAUCAGUAGACAGUGUCUAAUUCCUGACCUCAUAGCCUGUUACUACGCAUUUCAGAAAUUAAAGCAUACCAAAAGCAUUAAAAGAUGUGGUAGAUGGGGCAUGUCCUGUUGUACAAAAUAAUUAAAGGUAAUCUCAAUGACUGUAGAAAAGGGGAUUUGAUUUUCGAAGUGCCCACAAUUUCAUGGAUAGCUCCAACUUGAUAGCUUAGCUUGGACAGUGAAAUUGACUUCGCUAUUCUAUCUCCACUAAUUUCUAUCUGCACAAGAUGAGGUUGGUAACAUCUCCUUGUCAUUCAGCUAUGUGCCACAUUCACUCUUCUACUCUUUUGUACUAGCCAUACCUUGGCAAUGGCUGCCAGUCUCUCUGAACGACUUGCCUGGGUCACUGGUUAUGUCCUCAAAAUAAAUUACUAUAAUACUGCUUUGAUCAUUACUUUUACAGUACACUUGAACUUAAAAUUAGAUUCUGCUGACUAAUGUCAAUCAAAUAAAAAAAAAAUUAAGCAGUGCUCAUUAAUCUGUACUAGUGGACAUCUUUAAAAUUGUAGCAUCCUUGACAAGUCUUGUAAAAACAAUCGUCUCAUUGUUGGAAAUGCAGAAUGCAGCUGAGAAACCUCCUUUCUUCAUCCCGAGCUGGACAGCCAUGUACGCAUUGAAUGCGUUUAUAGUAGUAUGGGUACUCGUGGUUGGCUUUGGAUUGGGAGGGUGGGCUAGUAUGUCCAAUUUCAUCAAGCAAGUUGACACAUUUGGCCUCUUUGCCAAGUGCUACCAGUGCCCUCCUCCGACUCCUGCAAAACAUCAUUAAGUUUGAGAAUCUCAAGUUAAACCAUAGAUCCUCUUAUAGCAUUUUAAAUUUCUCUCUCUCAUGCAUUAUAGACGUCACACGGAAGUUGGCAGCAGCAUCUCCUCUGCAUUGUGUUUUGUUUAAACCCUUCUAUAAAUAGUAGGUUAUUUGCGAACAGUGAUGUUUUCUGUGGUAUCAUAUAUAUAUAUCAACGUUGUUAUUCUCUGUUCACAAGAGUGCUCAGCAUCUUUUAGCUAUCUCUUGGGGAUCUGCAGUAUUGGCAAUAAGAGUGGAGUGUGCUUCUGAUAAUGUUCGAUAAACCAUCUUUGCUCUAGGAAAUUUAGGGGGAGAUUUGUGAGUGGUAGUGCUCACAUGGCUUGCACAUUACGUAAAAACCUUGUGUAUAUGAACCCACAUGAAUCCAAAACAAAUCAUUCGAAGAUUAUAGUCUACCUUAGAUCUCCUUUGACUGCCUCUUUUGGUUCCCUAAUUCGUUAUUCUAUUUAUUCAUUCACAUGGAUUUGUUACUUGUAUCUCCUCCUGCUUCCUUAUUGAAACCUGUUAUGGGAGUUGACUAGUCAAAUGAAUAGAAUGAGUUCAGAGUUUUCUCCAUAUUGAUUUUCAAUAACAACAACAACCAGAAAUGAAAAAACAAAGAACGAUCCAAAUGUAGUGUUUGUAGCUUUCAUCUUUGUUUCCUUUCCCUGAAUUUUAGCCACUUUUCAAAUUCAUGCCUGUUCCUUUUGCCCUCGUCCCCGAUCCAUCAAGUCGGGAAGGAGAAAAUGAGUGAAAUGGACCGACUACAACUUACAAUUCUCUUGAUAAAAUUUGAAAAUUUUUUAUUUUUUUAUUAACUUCAAAUUAAUAUGUUUUUAGUGUUUUCAAAUUAUUUUGAUGUGCUGAUGUCAAAUUGAUUUUUUAAAAAAAAAAACAUCAUUAACAUGCAUUUUAAUACAAAAAGUUAUUUAAAAAACAAUUAUUAUUGGUCUAUGAAAUGUCCGUAGACCCACUUAAAGUCGGUCUUAAAUGCGCUCGCGCGCUUGCUUUCUAUGAAAAGAGACGAAACUGGUUUCUUUUAUUAUUUGACAAAGAUGGAUCAAAUGGCUUGUUGCUUUAAGGACUAGCUACAAAUAUCUUGUCCCUGAAGAAAGGAUAUGAUGUGGAUCUUGUCGUUUCUUAUGACUUUUGGACUAUCAAGACUUUAUCAAAAGUUCCUCGAAGAAACGUGCUUUGAGGAAGAUAGAGCCAUGCAGUCUCAAGUUUUCAUUUUGCUCACAAAAGUAUUUCUUUUUUUCCCGAAUAAACAUGUGUGGAUUGAAAGUGAGCUAAAUUUACUGUGAGCGAUAAUGUUCUGUCACCUGAUAGUGCUAUCAUUUUCACUUAUUCAUGAUGGUCUUUGUACUAGCUGGUUAAUUUUGACUUCAGAAAAUGUCCCUCUAUUUGCAUUUAAAAUUUUUGACAUCGGUGCGGCCGUGCGGACUGAGGAUCUCCGUUCCCAGUAUGAAAAGCUCUACUUACUGGGCUUUCACUGUGCAACCGUGAUACAGUAAUCUAGGCUCAAGAGGCCACGCCCAUCUGCAUAGAUUUGGUGUGAUCCAUAAUGUUUUGGUCAUAAGAUUGAGAAUUAAGUAAUUGGUGGUUUGCAACAAAAAUCACAGACAUGAGGCUGUUCGGCGAUGAAAUGGGCUGGAUACCUGCACUGCAGUAGUUUCAGGCUUCUAGCCCAAAAGGGCCAUAUUCAUAUACCAAGAAUCACGGAGACGCCGUUUCAAGAGCAAAUGCGGUCCGAAAAGGGUCCAGAAGGGUAGGGUUGUCUAUUUCAUGUUAUAUUCUGAUUUAUUUAUUUAUUUUGUUUUAAGAAAUAAAAAUAAUAAAAUAGAUGAGAAAAUAUAUAUUUUUAAAAUAAAAUACUAUCUGAUUAAGCAUAGUCAAUAGUGUUCAAGGAAGCUAUAGUUAACUCCAAAGAAAUAAGAAUUUUAACUUAAAAACAAAAAAAGAUUUACUGGUAGCGGGAUUUCCUCACUCCAUGAGUCAAAUCCGUAUUUGAUUAUAACUUAAGUUGGAUCAAUUCUAGGAGGCAGACUCUUCGAGCCCGCAAACAACCAUACCUGAGUAUCACAAAAAAAGGAGGGACUUUUCUAGCGUUUCUAGGAGUGCAGUUUAAAAAUUCUGAAAUUAUUUUUAUAUAUAAUUUUAGAUUAUUUUGAUACCUUGAUAUUAAAAAUAAAUUUUAUAAAAUAAAAAAAUAUGUUUUUAAUAUUUUUAAAUAAAACAUACUUUUAAAAAAUAUUUUUUAUUACUAUCUCAAACACUCCUUUAUUUAAUGGAUGAGAAUGAGCUUAUAACCUGAUAUGCACACUCUUGCCUUGCCACUUGCAAUCGUCCGCUGUAGAAGAAUUUUAAGUAGCAACACAGUUGGUAUUUUAAGUAGCAACACAAUUUUAAGUAGCAACACAAUACACUAACUAGCUUGAUAUGCUUUCGACUUUAUCUGGCAUGUCAAUUGUUAAACAUUCUGAUAAUGGGUAACAAUAUCUCUGCAUCAGAUAACUGUAGCCGGUUGAUCUUGUUUUUUUCCCCCUCUAAGAAGAGGAAUCUUGUCUAAGAACCCUGUGAUCAUACAAUCGCAUGCCCGUAUAAACUGCUCUGUAUAAGCUCGUUUAGCCUGCCAUGCUCAGCAAUACUGCUUUCAUAGAUAGAUUGUGUGCCUGAGUGGCCCUUGACUCUCUGAAUAGUUUUCGAUGUUGAUGCACAUGAUUGUGAUUCCGUUGAGUUGGGCAUGAUCUCUGCUGUUGGACAUAUCCUAAUGCCACGAUUAUUUCUCUAAUUCCAUGUUUCUUGAAGGAUAACACCAUGAAAGAUGAGUCUGAAGAACCAUUCACCGCCCAGCACCGGUGGUCUUUCACUCCAACCAAGUUCAAUCAACAAGCAUUCCGUAUCCAGUACAAUGGAUAUUAGUCCUUAUCCGUCGAAGACUGAUGCACCAGAUGAGAAGCUUGGAGUGAAAGACCCAUCCCAACAAAAUCACUCUGCACAGGCUUCCUCUGUUGUUAAAUGAUAGUUAGAGAGCUUUGCUUAAUCCAAGAACAACGAACCAGGAGCAGAACAAGAACUUCAAAGGUUACUGCUAUCCCUCAAAUUUUAUUUAUAGAUAAAAUCAAAGAUUUCAAGAUCUUUAUCAUAAAGAAAAGGAAUCAUAAUAGCCAUAAUCUCAUUUAUCUAAGAGAUUACGUAAGUACAUAGGCUUAUUCUAAGUCAAGCAAAUAUCUAGCUAAAUUUAAACUUAAAAAUCAGGACAUAAAAAAAAUAUCAUAACAGAUAGAUAAGUAUGACUAAAAAAUAACCGAUAAUAACCUCUAGCUUUAAUACCCCACCACUUCAACAUCCUCCUCACACUUCAGCUCUUCACAUAUAACGGACAUUUUUACACGUUCUUUGAAGGAUAUACAGCCCUGUCCACAGAUAUCUUCCACAGCAGUCCAAUCUCCACAGCUGUUCUCCCCAUCACCAGUGGAUUCUCUUCCUGUUCAAAGGCAUAAACCUUGUUAUGGAUGGCUUAGCAGUGAUGAUGAGGAUUAACCAUUUCUUUGCUUGCAGGAUUUUUUUUUUAGAUCCAUAUAUUUGCAACAUUUGUUAGUAAAUGAAUGUUUAACAUUGUUAUAGUUUUUGUCAUUAUAAUUUGAUAAUUGUUUUAUAAAAAAAAUAGAAAUUAUAGUUUUUUUUAUAACUAAAAUCUCAAGAAUUUUUUUUAAUAAAUUCAUGCAAAAUUAUAAUUUGUAUUGAUUAAUUAAAUAUUUUUAAAAUUAUAAUUACAGCAAAAGACAAUGACAACCACACCAUACCACUACCAAACAGACGAAGAAAAAAAUAAAAAUAAAAAACAGUGCCGAAAUGGGUUUUCAAUUUCAGCUGGAACCUAAUUAAAUUUUUCAAAUUACAUUUUUACCACCGAAAGUUGUUGAAAUCUCAAAAUAGCCACUCAAGCUAGCUCACAAAAUGUACACGUGUGGGAUCCGGAUUGGGAAUUUCAGAUACCGAAAACAAAGGAAAAUAUCACAAGGCUUAGGCGGGUACUAAAAGCAGAGCAACGAACAAUAAAAGGGAUAAUUCCCUUUAGAAAGCAAGGUUUCUACUUCUUCGUCAGCCAUCGUCACUCACUCCCAAGAUAUCUAUCUGUUCCAGCCCCCGAUAGACAACACUGAAGAAAGAAAAAGACGAAAAGGUUUCCAAUUCGUGAAAUUUCAAUGGACACUUAGGGUUUUAAAUAAAAAGAAAGAAGACGUUAUUUUUUCUUUUAGAUGCUAAAAAUGAGUGUUUCGGCGACAUUUCGUGGCAAUUUUAGUUCCUUAUUGAUACCACAGAGCAGCUAUUGUCCUUGCGAUUAUCGUCCACGCCACAUUUUAGCUUCUUCUUCUGUUAUUUCUUGGCGAAAACGAUGUCGUACAAGAGAUUUCAAGUUGUACCAGGUUUCAGAGUAAGAGUUCUUCUUCUUCUUCUUCUUCUUCAAUUGUUAUGGAUGCUUAUAAUUUAUUUAUUAUAGUAUUACUCAAAAACGUGUUCUAGUUUUUUCUACUUGUAGGAAGCUAAUUAUACUGCUGUGUUUUAGGUUUUGUGAGAGGAGAGAAAUUAUUGUAUGUAGAGCUGCAGAGACAGAGAUUGAACCGGAUAAUAGCAACAAUGAUAAUAAGGUUAUUGCUACCUCUUUUCUUUUCUUCUGUUUAUAUAUAUACAAAUACAAUAAUAACAUGCAAUGUUAGCUAGAUUCUACCGUUUAUCUGGUUAAUUAGUUAGUUUGGUGCGUCUUUGAUUUGAUUUAAAGUUAUUGAAUUUAACUUAGGAGGUGAAGUAACAUAUGAUCCCUUUCACAUGCUUUGGUUGAGUUAUAGAUUUAGUUUUGAAUCCCAUUUCAUGAAAUUGGAUAUCUUACUUUGGAUGUGUGGGAAUUGGAAUACAAAUCCAAGAUCAAUAACUUGAGAGUUAUAGAUUUAGUUUCAUGUUAAUGUUUUUUUUUUGCAUUCACAUACGUGGGAUUUAUUUAACUUUGAAUUUGUUAAAUGUAUCUAGGAAAAAGAAGUGCAUGAAGGAGGAGAGGAGCAUCCUACCAUAGAUUCCGUUGGCCAAACUGACGACCAACCUGAUUCUCAGCCUACAAUUCUAAAUCAAAUAAAUGGCGGGGAAAUUACUACUGGAGGUGGCACCCAGGUAUUUAUAUCUCUUACUUAGUAUAAGACUUGCAGUUUUUAGAUUCUUUGUUUUUAUCAAUAUAGCUGUAGACAUAAUGUUUGCUCUAUGCGGUCAGCUAUUGCAUUUCCUUUCCCUUUUAACACUUAUGCAUGGAAUAACUGUAUGUUUAGUCUCCUUCUCUUGAAGGGAAAGAUGUGCUGCUUCUAAGUGGUUUUGAAUAACUACAGAUAAAUGAAACAAUAUACAAUGGUUGGCCACAACGUCCUGUAGCCAUUCAAAUUUCAUAAGAAAACUCUGGCUCCUGCCCUUGACAAUUCUGUUCAUCUCAGAGUCAUGUUCUUUGACAUAAUAUUAUUUUUAAUAGGUUCAUGUAAUUUUCUUUGGUUUGGGAGCAGGAAACUCAUUAUUAAAUCCCCUGACCCUUAUUACAUUAAGGUUGUGUUUGAAACAGGAAGCUGAUGAUGAAGUUGUCAGUGGGUCCCCUCUGCCAGGUGUGAAGGUGAUUUGCAAGUGCUUAGUUUUUUGCGUUUCAGUAGGGAUCUUCUUUCAAAGCAUACUUUCUUACUUAUUUUUAAAAUUUCCUUAACAGCCCCAGCAACUGGAUGAAUCAAUCAGGAUUCCUAAAGAAACAAUUGAUAUUCUCAGGAACCAAGUGUUUGGCUUUGAUACAUUUUUUGUGACAAGCCAGGAGCCAUAUGAGGUGAGCUACUAAUGCGCAAGGCUUUAUGUUUUUGCAUUUGUUUCCUUCUGUCCAUUACAAAUUCUCUAAGAGGGAAUAAAACCAAAUGGAUUUGCAAUCUAGGCUAGAAGUUCUGACUGAUUAUCCAAAGCUUACAUCUGUUCUAACCAGUAGCCCAAGUUUAUGUUAUCCUCAUUGUGCUUUUAUCAUGGAUAUCAGACAUUUCUUGAACAGUGAUUAGGUUUGCUCCAUCUUACUCAUUCUCCAUGAAAGAAAUGCUUUUGCUGACAUCCUUGCUGAAAGGGAUCUUCUCAAGAUUGUCUUAUAGUGUGGACUAGUCCAACAUAUUCAUCCACAGCUUCUAUCUGAUUGUUCUUGUGUCUUAUUUUUGAGAGGGUAGUUUGUUUUUGUUUCUUUUUCCAUUGUACCAAAAAGAAUGGCUCUUUCUUCCUUUAAAUUUUUUGAAAUUCUUUACAAAUUUACCUGUGGAAGUUGAAAAUCCAUUUAAGAAGGGGGACAAGGAGUGUGUGAAAUAGAUACAUAAGAGGAGUUUGCUAUUUCAUUUUACUCUUUCUAGUCAAGAGUGAAUAUUUCAUGUCUUUCUAGUUAAUUUGUUUGAUUUUUUGUUAUGCUUUUGGUAGGGUGGAGUCUUGUUUAAAGGAAACCUGCGAGGCCAGGCAGCUAAAAGCUAUGAAAAAUUAACGAACAGGAUGCAGGUGAAUUUAUUAGCUUCUUCAUUUUCCCCCUUUUCAUGCAGUUUUGUCACUGAUACUGCACACAAUUCAAUUAAACAGAAUAAACUUGGGGAUGAGUAUAAGAUUUUCCUCCUAGUUAAUCCGGAGGAUGAUAAACCAGUGGCAGUUGUGGUUCCAAGAAAGACCCUUCAGCCAGAAACGACAGGUAGUUUUAUAGCCUAGUACAGUGUUGUUAUUUUAUUUUUUUUGCCUGAUCAGCACCUUUUUUCACAGUAAAAUACUUAAAUCUCUCAUCACAAGAGUGAAGACACAAAUCAGAGCCAAUUUAACAUCUGGUUUAAACUACAAUGGAUUUAGCUUUAUUUCUGCAGCUGUCCCAGAGUGGUUUGCAGCUGGCGCUUUUGGACUGGUUACAAUUUUUACAUUACUUCUCCGGAAUGUGCCUGCAUUACAGUCAAACUUAUUGUAUGUAAUUUAUUUAUCUAUUCUUAUGAAUCAUAUUUACAUUAAUAAAAGCUAUGUUUUGCUGAAGCUGAGGGUAUUUAGAUUAACAAAGAACUUUUAAUUGUUUUCUGUCAGACUUUUCAUUUAGGCAAGUAUCUGAAAAGGUACAGUGUGAUUUCCAUGCAUACCCUGUUGUGGUUCCUUGUGCCCUCCUUUUGUGUUACAUCUCUUGAUUAAGGGUGAUAACUUGAGCAAAUUCUUUUUCUUUGCCUUUGCUACAUGCAUUUUCCAGAGAGGGUACUUCACUUUUUUUUGUCCUUAUUCAUGUGGAUAAUUUUUUGUUAUGCUGGGUGUUAAUAGUGCCUUUUAUAUCUACUCGUCUUGUAGUUUAUCUUCAAGGUUUCUAAUUCAUUUUUGUAUGAGCAUUUUCUUUGACCUUCUAGACUUCUUUCAUGACACAGAACUCAUAAAAAUUUUCUGACUAGAACAUUAAUAUUUUAAAUGUUCCAGAUCGACUUUUGACAAUCCUGAGCUGUUGAUGGAUGGGCUACCCGGAGCCCUUGUGACUGCACUUGUUCUGGGGGCACAUGAAUUGAGCCACAUACUGGUUGCAAAAAGUAAUGAAGUUAAGCUUGGGGUGCCAUACUUUGUUCCAAGUUGGCAGGUGAAAUAUAUAUAUAUAUAUAUAUUUAUAUAUAUUGUUGUCUUGUCUUGAUCUUUACUUAUGCUGUUCCCUAGCGUGAUUUCUUUGGGGAACUGGCUAGGAGACUGUUUUCUAUCCAAAGCAAUCCUUUUCUAUUGACUGAUCUAUCUGGGUCGGUGGCAGAUAGGUUCUUUCGGUGCUAUCACAAGGAUAACAAGUAUCGUGCCCAAACGUGAAGUUCUUCUGAAAGUUGCAGUGGCAGGACCUUUAGCGGGGUUUUCCUUGGGUCUUGUUCUUUUCCUUUUGGGCUUCAUCUUACCACCUAGAGAUGGUAUUGGUCUUGUUGUUGACGCUUCUGUUUUUCACGAGUCAUUUCUUGCUGGGGGUAUUGGUAAGUUCAUUUUGGAGUUUAUUGCAUACAGAUCUGCUAGUGCAUUCUGUUAUGACUUGCAAUGCUACAAAGAUUGAUGGAGAUCAAAUUUAUCUAAUUAUAGUUGACUACCUUGAUCUUUAUAUUUCUUUUCCCAAAAAAAGACUUGCAUUUUUUUUUCAGUGAUCAAGUUAUUUACUUCACAUGUAAUUUUACUCAAGCAAGUUGGAGACCGGUGAUAUUAACUUUGAGCUUUGCUUUUACCUGUAGCUAAACUUCUGCUAGGUGAUGUACUCAAGGAAGGCACUCCCAUAUCUGUUAAUCCACUGGUGAUAUGGGCGUGGGCUGGACUUCUUAUUAAUGCCAUCAACAGCAUCCCUGCUGGAGAGCUUGAUGGUGGGCGAAUUUCUUUUGCUAUCUGGGGAAGGAAGGUAUACCAUUUAAAAUUAAGCACAAGAGAAAUUAUAAGAUACUUCCAAUGGAUUGCCUCCCCGCCCACAUGAAAGCGGGACCCACUAUGAUAACACCAGUGGGGUCCGCUGCUAUAUGAGUGGGUAGUAGUACGCUGGGAGUAUCUGAUGAUCUCUCUAAAUACAAUAUAGCAAUAACUUGAAGGUUUAAACUCGAUGUUGUUGACCCGAAAGUCACUUUCAAAUGGCUCAGGAAUUAAAAUAUAACCUUUUAACCUCAGAUAUUUUUCUGAAUGUUUUGAGGUGAAGAGAGUGUGACACAGAUCUAGUUUUUCAUUUGACAGGCUUCAGCUCGCUUCACUGGUUUCUCCAUUGUCUUGCUUGGACUAUCCUCACUACUUAACGAUGUGGCUUUUUUCUGGGUAGUUCUAAUAUUCUUCUUACAAAGGGGGCCAAUUUCUCCAGUUUCUGAAGAGAUAAGUGAUCCCGAGAAUAAGUAUGUUGCCCUUGGACUCUUAGUUUUGGUCUUAGGAUUGCUGGUGUGCCUACCAUACCCCUUCCCUUUUACAGAUGAAACCGUUACAAGUUUCACAAGUAAUGCCAUUUCAAGUCUCUAGUCACAAUACAGUUUCCAUAUACUCCAGCCUAAAGUUGUUCUUAGAAUGUCAGACAGCCUUGUUAGUGUAACUUGUACAAGGAAAUGCGAUACACAUUUUAGCCCAUCAAAUUGGUGAAAUUGUGCUGUGUAUUGGCAUCAAGAAAUUCAUAUGCAUGGCUAUUUUCUCCCGUAAUUCUGUUCGUGUAAUUUCAAUAAAGUCGAUGAAUCUUUUUGCGGGUGCUUCUAUUUUUAAGUAAUGCCAUGGUCGAAGUUAGUACAGGACCACAUUCUGGGUGAACUGAAAUCAGCGAGAACAGAUAACUAUCCUGGAUUACCUUCAAAGGCAUCGAGUGCCGUUAAGUUGAUAUGUACCCUUACAGAAUGUCAUGUCAUUUCAGCUUGUAAGAACUGGGGAAAACGUUUCAUAGCUAGCUAGAUCCUUGUUGUCCAGAAAAUUCAAGUAUUUUGGAGCGGAUUAUCAUGUGUGUUUUCGGGUAAGGAUAUACUUGGCUGCGUUUGAUGCAUAAAUUGGGCAAUUAUCAUAAUAAAUUUAAAAAAUUGAUGAAUUGACAUAGGUUAAAAAAAUUCAAGUAUUUAGUAAAUGUUAUUUUUUUUAAUGCGACAAGAUAGUUGUCAUGUUUUAGAAUAGUAAUAUUUAGUAAAUGUCGUGUUUUUGAAGCGUGAAAUGAUUAAACUGUAUCAUUUCUGGCUUAACCAGUUGACCUAGUUUAUAAUGGUUAAUGAAAUUAAUCGAUUAAUUUUAAAAAUAAUAAGAAAAAUCUCAAAACUAUCAAAAUUAAAAGGCUCGGCGAGAUUUUUUAUAUCUAAAGAUCUGAUAGCCUACGUCGUUCUCUGAACUACCAAUCGAAUCAAAAGUUAUGGUUUUUUUGACAUGUUAUUCUAGUCUGGCAUGACUAGAUCUUCUCUCAAACCUAAAUAUGUUCUAUUGAUUUAUAAAUAUAUUUGCUAGGUUAUUCAUAAAAAAUUUUAGGAUAAGGACGUGUUUAUUUAGUUAAGACAUAUAUUUUCAAACCUAACUCAUAGGUGUUAUUUUGAUGAGAAAUCAUCUGCUAUUUUAUUUAUAAUGUUAUUGAUGGUGAUACUGAUAAAACUCUGUUUAUGCAAUUAAGUUGUGUGGAAAAUAACAUGCAAGUUGCCAAUGCAGUAUUUGGUUUCAUGCAGAUUUGAGGUGUCGAUGACCAGUAUAGAUGGAGGACUCGUCCUCUUUUGGCUGAUUAUCUAAAAGCAAACUUACUAAUGACAACCAGGUUUUCCCGAUAAUGCAAGUCACCGGAGAGUUGCAUGAUGAUCACACCUUGCUGGGAUGCCCUCCGUGCUGCAUUGCCUGUCGGAACUGUCAGUGGGGCACCAAAGGUUUGCUUUUGAUCGUAUUAUUUCCCAUUCAGAUGCUCCCAACUUGACCUAGUGUUUGAGCUGAACUAAAUUUGCGAACAUUAUUUAUUUCGUCACUACUUAUGCUUUAUCACGGCAUGUCUGGUAUGAGGACAUUCUUGCCUGUAGUGGCAAGCCUCUCUAUGGAAGUCUGUCAUGAUAACGUAUAGACUUUAUGGUCCAUUUUUUUCCAAAUUGCUUUUCUAAGCACUAUCAAGAUGCAAUCUUCCUUUCCCUUCUUCGGAAAUUCUGAUGAUCAUCAUUUGAAUUGUGAUACAGGUAAAGGCAAUGGAAUUGAUUGACCAAAUGGAGGUGUCGAGGCGUGGUCCUUACAGUGGAGGAUUAGGAGGGGUUUCCUUCACUGGUGAUAUGGACAUUGCACUGGCUCUUAGGACCAUGGUAUUCCCAACGGAAACUCAAUACAACACAAUGUACUCGUAUAAGGAUGCUCAGCUACGCCGUGAAUGGAUUGCUGGUGCUGGUAUAGUUGCAGACAGUGUACCCGAAGACGAGCACCGUGAGUGCCAGAACAAAGUUGCUGGGCUUGCUCGCGCCAUCGACUUGGCUGAGUUAACUUUUGUUAACAAGUCAUGAGGUUUAGCAACAGGUACAGAUAUAGAUUUCCAAUACCAGCUGACCUUUUGUAUGUAGCCAACCUGCUCUGGAAGCAAGCUAGAGUUGCUUGAGGAGAGGAAGAGAGAGUAAGAAAAGAAUGCUAGCCAAUUGUAUGUAAAACUUUUGCAAUAUAAUCAAUUUAUCCAUGCCAUGCACCCUAAAAUCUAAAUUUCUCUUCCCUGUCCAUCGUAAUGCAAGUGGUGGCAUUUUCUUCAAAUACUGUAAGCAUCCAUACAAGAAAACUAGUGAUCUAACUCUAAAAGACAGCUCAACUGAUCAGGCCUUCAGUUUGUUCCUCAAUGAUCACGAGUUUGAGUUCUUUUAAGGUAACUGGAGGCUUACAUGGUCGUUAAUUUCAGAAUCCGUGAGAUUAGUCGAGGUAUGCGCAAGCUGGUCCAAACACCCAUGUUAAUAAUAAUAAAAAAAAAAACUAGUGUUCUGCUUUUCAAUCUUACAAUGCCCGCAACUGCUCCCUGUGCUUGACAUUAGUUAUAUGCUUCCUUAUUGUACAUUGUUGAACAAGAAUUUGCAAGAAAUAAUCCUUUCUUCCGUAAUAUUAGUAAUAAUGACGUAUCAGGGGACAGUGCUACUUUAAUUGCAAACUUGAAAAGGCCUCAACUGAAGCUCCAAGGAAAUGCAUUAUUUUGGGUAACUAGCAGUAUUCAAAGGGAUUUCUUAAACAUGACAGGAGAACAAGGAAAGCCUGUCAAACUUUCUGUAUUUUAACACUAGAAAGACGUUCCAACAUUACAAUCUGCUUCUAAUCUAGUGAGCCUCUUCUAGAGCAUGGGCGUAUCAGUUAGUUUUUAUGGAUGCUUCUGCACCUGAGCCUCUUGACUAAAGCAUACCUUCAACCAGGGCGACGUUAUUUUUUAUAAGAUAGAAAUGGUUGCCAUUUCAGUGUUUUCUGCAGGCGAAGAUAAUUUCUCCAGUUUGCAGCAUCUGCAGAGAAUUUCAAAGUAGCUCAGCAUCUUUAAAGAAGUAAUGGUGUCUCUUUGUUGCUUCAAUAUACCUCUCACCACCUUCAAAAUAUACAUCACUUGCAACUAUUGCUUGUAAAAAUCUCAGAAUACAGUAAAAAAGAACCAUAAAAUAUAAGUUUAACUGAGAUGAAGAUAGAAACGUACCACUACCUGAAUAAUAUCAGUCUAACCUGGGACACCCAGCAAUACUCUUAGCAUAUUUCUAUACCAUAAUCACCCUAAAAAAAGACAGUGAUCACAAUUAAUACAGUUUCUGACAGCUAAACUUCUGCCUAAACCAUCCAACUAGCACAUAGUAUCACAAAAGUUACUUGUCACGUCAUUAAAAUCCCAAACUUAGAUUGUGUUUAUUUUUACAGUAUAAUCGUGUUUUUAAAAGGUUUUCAAUUUUUAUAUUAUUUUAAUAUAUUAAUAUAAAAAAUAAAAAAAAUUAUUUUAAUAUAUUUUCAUAAAAAAACAACCAAUAAUACAAUAAUAAACCAUAUCCGAUGACAUCCAUAAAUUGCACAAUCAACCAACAGUAACCAGCACAUUUAUCAAAGAUCUUAUUAAUCACCCCUUGAUCAAAGCAAUGCACACAAAAUCACAGCAAAUGAUAAAACGUAAGCACCUACAAUCAUGAUCACAAUCAUCUUUUACUAUCAUAAUCAACGAUCUCCGAAUCAGUAACCGAUCUCGAGUGCUGAACUAUAGACCGUCCGAUUGAAUUGAUCCAAUCCUCCUUUUCCUUCUCAGAAUCUGCAAUAAAAUACAUGGUAUCGUUCCUCGUAGACAACUCGAAUGCGUACUGUUUAUGAAGCACGUCCUCCGCUCCUUUAACUGUCAAGCAAGAGGCAACUGGGAUGACGCCACGUGGCUUACACACACGAGUCACGGUGGAAUCUUUGAACCAGAAGAGCUUCCCUUGUUUUAAAAUGAACCACCGGCGUCUCCAUGUCUUGAUGUGCUCCCCUUGUUUCAUUAACCACCCUGUUCGUUCUGGGUUCGACCAGAACUCGACCCCGUCCGUUUGGGUUGAUUGGGUUUGCGUUAGGGCCGUCGCGGCACGCCAGAGAGAUGCCAUGGAGUCAGAGAGUGACAUGGGGGGUUCGGAUUUGAAGGAGAGAGAGUUCCAGUUAUUGACGAAAUCGAGGUGGGAAAGAA